AUGUAAAUUUUUGUAUGAGAUUUUAUUUAUUUAAAUAAUAAAUAUAUUUUUUUUAGUUGCAGUAAUUAGUAUUAUUAAUUAAAGAAAUUUAGAUAUAGUGAUAUUAUUUAGUAUUGGCAAAAUUUGUGCCAGCAGUCGCGGUUACACAAAUAAUACAAAUAAAUUUUUUUCAGUAAGAGUUAAAUUUUAGAUUAAAAAAUAUACAUAAAUUUUUUAGGUGAAAUUUUAAAUUUAUAAAUUUUUAAUUUUUUUUUAUUGAAGCUCAAAAAUUUUAUUCAUAAACUAGGAUUAGAUACCCUAUUAUUUAAAAUGUUUUUAUUUUACUAGAGUAGUAGUAGUUUAUGUUCUUGAAACUUAAAAAAUUUGGCGGUAUUUUAGUCUAUUCAGAGGAAUCUGUUCUAUAAUCGAUAAUCCACGAUGGACCUUUCUUAAAUUUGUUUUCAGUUUAUAUACCGUCGUUAUCAGAAUAUUUUAUAAAAAUAAUAAUUUUCAAUAAUUUUUACAAAAAUUUAUAUCAGAUCAAGGUGUAGCUUAUAUUUAAGUAGAAAUGGAUUACAAUAAAUUUAUUUAAAUGGAUAUAAUAAUGAAAAAAUUGUUGAAAGUGGAUUUGAUAGUAAAAAUAUAGAGAUUAAUAAUUUGAUUUUAGCUCUAAAAUAUGCACACAUCGCCCGUCGCUCUUAUUAAUAAGGUAAGAUAAGUCGUAACAUAGUAGAUGUACUGGAAAGUGUAUCUAGAAUG
rnacentral:ncRNA from 1 species